rnacentral:lncRNA from 1 species
CUAUUGUUUAAACUGUGCAUUCUUUGCUGCUUUGGCAGAAGCAGCUCUAUGGACCUCUAGUGGUCUAAGGAUCACAUUCUCUUUACCACUGCUUUUAUCUAACAGAUAGCCUUAAAAUCAUUGCAGAAGUUGGUAGAAAGUAGUAAACCUCAGGUCACUGUGUGUAGAGCUGCAGGGUAUCGUUUGGGCAUUUAAAUGUCAAAAGCUGAGCAGUGUUUGGGGAGCGAAGUGAAAAAUGCUACCCAGCAAAUGGGAGAACUGAGCCAUGCAGGCAAAAUAAAACACAGAUGUAAAGGACCAAUGUAAGGUUGGAUUUCACCCCAAGCUUUGGUCCCGUGUUCUCAACAAAGCAUCACACUGUGUUUCUUUCAGACUUGGAUUCAGUAGAAUUUUUCUUUUGGUAGAAAGUUUUUCAGAGGGAAAAUGCUCUUCCUCAACCAGUACACGGGUGUGCAGUACAGAACAUGGCUUUUACAUCCCAAGGGUUCCCUCAUUUUGCUGGGAUGAGAACCAGUGGGGCUGUCAGCUGGAGCAAGCUGCCUUUCAGAGGGAAGCAAAGUCUGAAACCAUACAGUGUAAUAAACGUGGAAAAGGGAAUACCUUCUAACAUGCUACGUUUUAAUAAGCUUUCCUUUAAAAUGAAGCUGCUGUUGGAAAUAAAGGUGCAAGUUGUUCAAAGUCAACUCAUGCUUCAGAGAAGAGUUGGAAGCAGUGCCUGCGUUCAGGUUGCCAGCGUUCUUUCUUACAGGAGGCCACAAUUAGUAGGCGAGAUAUCGCUGUCGGCAUGAAGAAGAUGAAAGAGAAGGCAGCUGAAUGCUAGGAUGCCACUCUGCAGUGCCUAAAAUGGAAGAUGAUGAUCUGGUGUGCCAAGUGUGGUCCCUUCCAGCAGAAAAGUGAGCCUUUGUCUUGUGGGACAAUGUUACGGUACAAAGCCAUCCUAUAUGCUCCGAGUGGUGGGGAGCUUAACAAAUGAGCUCAUUUCUACUGAAACUCUAGCACUCUGAGCAUAUUACUACUAUGGAUUAAUGUAAUUUAUUUUUGUCACUGACUGAUUCAUAGGGUGUUUUCUUGCAAUUUGCUAAACCACCUCGUGAAUCAUGUAAGUAGAAAUUAUAAAAUAAAUGCUUUUUUCCUCUCGUGACACUACCCCUUGGAGCCAGGCUAUCUGGGGGAGGUGUGAGGGAAGGGUGUGUGGCUGUGCACAGUGUCAUGUCAGCAGUUUGUCCCCCAUCCGCUUAUUUCAGACCAGAGCUUAGGGGACAUGAGGAUGUCAGGGAACCUGCUAGCUGCACUCAGUACGUUCACAUUGCAGAGGGUUGACUGCUGUUCCACAACUUUGAGGUGGUUAUAGUGGAUGCAGCGUUGGGUGUUGAGCACCCGUGGUAACAGACAGGUGUCAUCCAGCCCUCACUGGUCUCUCUUCAGAACUCCCUGUUGAUUGCCUUCAUGUUGUCACAUUGAGAAUCAUUAAUGGAUCUUCCAGGAGUUAUUCUCUUAUCUCUGGAGACAAGAUUUCUGGAACUGCUGGCUCUUGUUCUUCUUUCUUCCUCUUGUGGUUGAUUCUGUCUGUGCCCCAAGGUGCUACAGGUGGUUGAUUUUUCUUCCCUUUAUUAUCACUCUGAAAUACUGACAUGGUGUUUUUGUCUGAGGUUUGGUGAUGGCCCCAAGGUACUGGAGGACAGAACAAACUCAUGGCAAUAAGAUGACUCCAUGGGUACAUUUUAUUUGCCUUACACUUUGGGUGACCAACACUUAUAUUAUGGCAACUUACACCAUUAAGUAUGUGUGUAACACGUGUGCUGACAUUCUCCAUUGCUUGGGUUUGGUUCUUAUUUGUUGUUAUUCCUAUACUGAGACCAAGCACAGAUACAGAGAAGGAAUUAAAACUUCCUGAUGAUUUUGUUGCCUUCAAAUCUGGUCAUCCACCAUGUGAGGUCAUCCCACCACUAAGACUGGUUGUACUGUCCUUGUGUUGAAAGAUCUAACGGAUGGGUACUUGAUGGAAUGAUGGAGACCUAAAACAGUGAAACAGUGAAACUUUGAAACAGGUGGACAAAUGAAUGCUAACUCAUAACAAAAUCAGAACACUUCUAUAAUGUGAUCUCUAAAACAGAGCACUUUGACCAUCCAGAAACAGUGAAUCUGUUUUAGUUAUACCUUCUUCAGAGUGAAAACCUCAGCUGUUGUUUAAUUAGGGUAUUCCUCAAUUUGCAGGAUCUUCUCUUUUCAAAUGACUAUACUGCAGCUUUAAAAACCUGGAAUAUUAUAAACAUAUUGCAAGCAUAUGGUCUCCAUGCAGAAAACCACAAAACAAUAAACCUAAUGUUGAAAACCACAUUAAAACAAGGAAAAAUCACUUUGCUAAUGUUUUGUUUCAUACAAUUUUUUAAGACUUGGAAUGAAGUAGAGUCCAUUUUCUUGGCUGCUAAUCAAAGAGCUGGCAUGCUUUGCAUAGGAAAAAUGUAAACUUUAGAGGGCCAAAGUUUUUUACUUUCAAUGCCCCUUUCAGGCACUGGUUUUUAUGGGUUGACAAACGUUAGCCAAUACUUCUCUGACAGGGACAAUCAGUGCGUGGGUAUAUGAGAGCAGCUGACUUCCCUUUGGGGGACCUGGAAUCAUUUAGAUCUUGUUAGCCUGGUGAUUAGGGCUGCUGAGUUUUCAGUGUGUCACCAUUUUUGUAACCUGUUAAGGAAAUAAACAAUAUUUACAAAGGGAAAUAAAUGAAUGUGGAUUCCUCACUUAAUUGCAUUCAUGUCUUCCUAAAUCAAGAUGCUUUAUUUGGAUUUGCU